AUUUUCCAGUGUUAAAGGAAUGCUGUCUGGAUGUACGGGCUCUCGUCAAAUGCAGAAAUCUAAUACUAGCUUAUCACUGAGAAAAUAAAAUUAAGUGUUGGAAAGGA